rnacentral:rRNA from 1 species
CCUACGGGUGGCAGCAGUGGGGAAUAUUGGACAAUGGGGGCAACCCUGAUCCAGCCAUGCCGCGUGUGUGAAGAAGGCCCUCGGGUUGUAAAGCACUUUCAGUGAGGAAGAACGCCUGGUGGUUAAUACCCAUCAGGAAAGACAUCACUCACAGAAGAAGCACCGGCUAACUCCGUGCCAGCAGCCGCGGUAAUACGGAGGGUGCGAGCGUUAAUCGGAAUUACUGGGCGUAAAGCGCGCGUAGGUGGCUUGAUAAGCCGGUUGUGAAAGCCCCGGGCUCAACCUGGGAACGGCAUCCGGAACUGUCAAGCUAGAGUGCAGGAGAGGAAGGUAGAAUUCCCGGUGUAGCGGUGAAAUGCGUAGAGAUCGGGAGGAAUACCAGUGGCGAAGGCGGCCUUCUGGACUGACACUGACACUGAGGUGCGAAAGCGUGGGUAGCAAACAGGAUUAGAUACCUCUGUAGUC